rnacentral:tRNA from 1 species
UUUGUGGGUGGCCGAGUCGGUACGGCCUUCCUUUUUGCGGAACCUGAGGCGGAAGGGCUUCGGCGCCUGGUCCGAGCCCGAACUGCAUUC